UUUUAAAUAGUGUAAUUUAUAACACAUAACAUUUUCAUUGUUGAAAUUCCUGCAGAUUUAAAAUU
rnacentral:tRNA from 1 species